rnacentral:rRNA from 2 species
UAGGGAAUAUUGGGCAAUGGACGAGAGUCUGACCCAGCCAUGCCGCGUGCAGGAAGACGGCGUUAUGCGUUGUAAACUGCUUUUAUCUGGGAAGAAAAAGUCCAUGCGUGGAAAAUUGCCGGUACCAGAUGAAUAAGCACCGGCUAACUCCGUGCCAGCAGCCGCGGUAAUACGGAGGGUGCAAGCGUUGUCCGGAUUUAUUGGGUUUAAAGGGUGCGUAGGCGGCUCUUUAAGUCAGUGGUGAAAGACCCCGGCUCAACCGGGGCAGUGCCAUUGAUACUGGGGAGCUUGAGUGUUGGAGAGGUACAUGGAAUUGAUGGUGUAGCGGUGAAAUGCAUAGAUACCAUCAGGAACACCGAUAGCGAAGGCAUUGUACUGGCCAACAACUGACGCUGAGGCACGAAAGCAUGGGUAGCGAACAGG